GGUACUGUGCGUUGAAAAAUAUG
rnacentral:miRNA from 1 species